UUUAUAUGACUAUCAUAUAAGAAUAUUAAGAGAAGUUAUUAAGAGAAAAAUACCACUUGCUUCUUUAUUCUUUAUUUUUAAGCUCAUAUUGAAAUCUUCUCGCUGAUCAUGAUAUUUCUUCACUUUCUCUAUCUCCUAUUUUUAAAGAUUAAUUUUUCAAAAUAUAACAUCUUAAAGAUAAAUUUAGUCGUUCCAAAAUUUCAUUUUAAAAAAAAGCCAAACACAAAUAAAUAAAAAGAUAAAAAAAAAAGACUUAUUUGAUUGACCAAGGUUUUGGUUUUCGUUAAAUCUUCGA
rnacentral:lncRNA from 1 species